UGGAGACUGCCGGUAGACAAACCGGAGGAAGGUGGGGACUGACGUCAAGUCCUCAUGGCCCUUAUGGGUAGGGCUUCACACGUCAUACAAUGGUCGGUACAGAGGGUUGCCAACCCGCGAGGGGGAGCUAAUACCCACAAAGCCGAUCGUAGUCCGGAUCGCAGUCUGCAACUCGACUGCGUGAAGUCGGAAUCGCUAGUAAUCGUGGAUCAGAAUGUCACGGUGAAUACGUUCCCGGGUCGUU
rnacentral:rRNA from 1 species